rnacentral:rRNA from 1 species
GAUGAACGCUAGCGGGAGGCCUAACACAUGCAAGCCGAGCGGUAGAGAUCUUUCGGGAUCUUGAGAGCGGCGUACGGGUGCGGAACACGUGUGCAACCUGCCUUUAUCUGGGAGAUAGCCUUUCGAAAGGAAGAUUAAUACCCCAUAAUAUAUGAUUCGGCAUCGGAUUCUAUUGAAAGCUCCGGCGGAUAGAGAUGGGCACGCGCAAGAUUAGAUAGUUGGUGAGGUAACGGCUCACCAAGUAAGUGAACUUUAGGGGGCCUGAGAGGGUGAUCCCGCACACUGGUACUGAGACACGGACCAGUCUCCUACGGGAGGCGGAAGUGAGGAAUAUUGGUCAAUGGGCGAGAGCCUGAACCAGCCAAGUAGCGUGAAGGAUGAAGGUCCUAUGGAUUGUAAACUUCUUUUAUAGUAGAAUAAAGUGAUCCACGUGUGGAUUUUUGUACGUAUACUAUGAAUAAGGAUCGGCUAACUCCGUGCCAGCCGCCGCCGUAA